AAUGAACGCUGGCGGCGCGCCUAAUACAUGCAAGUCGAGCGAGAAGACGUAGCAAUACGUUUGUAAAGCGGCGAACGGGUGAGGAAUACAUGGGUAACCUACCCUCGAGUGGGGAAUAACUAGCCGAAAGGUUAGCUAAUACCGCGUACGCUUCUUGGACUUCGGUUCAGGGAGGAAAGCGAUGCCCAGGGUAUCGCGCUCUUGGAUGGGCUCAUGUCCUAUCAGCUUGUUGGGAGGUAACGGCUCACCAAGGCUUCGACGGGUAGCUGGUCUGAGAGGACGAUCAGCCACACUGGCACUGCGACACGGGCCAGACUCCUACGGGAGGCAGCAGUAAGGAAUAUUGCGCAACGGGCGAAAGCCUGACGCAGCGACGCCGCGUGGGGGAUGAAGGUCUUCGGAUUGUAAG
rnacentral:rRNA from 1 species